rnacentral:misc_RNA from 1 species
UUACAAAGAUACGGAUUAGAUAUUAUUUUAUAUUAUUUUAAUUUGUUCAAUAUUAUGUUAACUGAUUAACGCUGUUUUUCUUGUUGUUUUUUAAACGAAAGUGCAAUGCACAAAAUGGCCUUUAUUUAACUAGAAAUUGUACAAAUGAUAUCUCGUAUGAUAACGUAAGACUGAAAACUUUAUUGCGUUUAAUAAUAAAUCAUUUCAGCCUAAUGAUUUAAUUUAAGAAUGGGUUCUAUGCUCACGAUAAGUAAUUUUUUUUGUAAUGCAACAAGGACCUUAAUAAGGAAGUUUGGAAAUAUUCUUCAAUAUAUUUAUAAAUGCUGCUAUAUAAAAUAUCUUUGUUAUUAUGUAAGUUUGUAUAGGUACAAUGAUGAAGUGGUUGAAAAUAUGACAGAACACAUUUCAUCAACUGAAAGUCAAGACUCUGAUCAAAUAAGAGUCUUAACUCUAAAUAAUGGAGAGCACCUUGAUGGUAUAUUAUACAGAUUGAAAAAAGGAUGGAAAGUAGAGUUUCGUUUAGGUGCUUCCCUUCUUGGGAAGUCACUUGAUCUUUUUAUAAAUCAUCCUAUAGGAGAACAUAGAAAAUUUGAAAGACAUUCAUACUAUCAAUUGGAAUGGGUAAAUGAGACAGCUAGUAUAUGUUUAUCUCUAGCUGGUUCAUUUCACUAUUAUCUUGUGGAUCCUAGUUCUGAAGGUAUAAAACCUGUUGCUUCUGGAUAUCUAUUAGUGGAUCCAGAACUUAAAGUAGGAGAAAAUGGGGAAGAACUACCCUUAGAUUGCAUCCAGUGCCAAACUGUUUUAGCAAAAUGUUUAGGACCUUUUUCUACUUGGGAAGAUAAAUUGUUAGUAGCUAGAAAUUCUGGAUAUAAUCUAAUUCAUUUUACACCAAUCCAGGAACUGGGAUAUUCAAAAUCAUCUUAUAGUCUUAGUGAUCAAUUGAAGUUAAAUGCUUCCUUUAAUGAUGAUGAUAAACCAGUUACACAUGAUGAUAUCAAAGGGCUCAUUAACAAAAUGCGCAAUGAAUGGAACGUACUAAGCAUAUGUGAUAUUGUUUUAAAUCAUACAGCAAAUGAAAGUCCUUUCUUAGUAUCUCAUCCCGAAUGUACAUACAAUUGUUCAAACAGUCCUCAUUUGCGUCCUGCAUAUAUUUUGGAUGCAGCACUUUUUGAAUUAACAGUACAAGUGGCAGCUGGAGAAUGGGAAUUUAAGGGUAUUCCUACAGUAGUUGAAACUGAAGAACAUUUAAAUUCAAUUCGUCAUGCACUUCAUACAUAUUUUCUACCACUUGUCAAAAUACAAGAACUAUAUAUAAUAGAUAUCAAUGAAACUAUUGCUGAGUUUUUGAAUUCAGCUCGAAAUCAAAUGCCCCAGGAUAAUGUUGAACCAAUACUAGAUGAUAUAAGUAUAAUACAAGAUCCCAAAUUCCGAAGGUUAAAAGCAACGAUAAAUAUGCAACUUGCUUUACAAAAAUAUAACGUAUAUAGAGCUGAUUGUUUUGAUGAAGAAACGCGUUUAAAACGAUGUGCCGAAGAUUUAAGAAACAAAUUACAAGAGCUUAACAAUGUAAUCAUCAAUGAAAUACAAAAUCACUUGAAUGCUGCAGUUGAAAAUACAAUUUCUGGUAUAAGAUAUUUUAGAGUACAACCGGAUGGACCCAGAAUUAAAGAAAUAAGUGAAAGAAAUCCUCUUGUUCCUAGAUACUUUACUGAUUACGGAGCCCCUCAAACAUUAACUGAAAGAGAAGCAACAAUGUAUUCAGAUGCAGGAUGUUAUCUUAUGGCUCAUAAUGGGUGGGUAAUGAAUGGUGAUCCUUUGAAAAAUUUUGCAGAUCCUGACUCUAAUGUCUAUAUAAGAAGAGAGCUUAUUGCUUGGGGUGACAGUGUAAAAUUAAGAUAUGGAAAUAAACCAGAUGAUUGUCCUUUCUUGUGGCAACAUAUGACUACUUACGUUGAACAAAUGGCCAAAAUUUUUGAUGGCGUUCGUUUAGAUAAUUGUCAUUCAACUCCUAUUCCAGUUGCAGAAUACAUGCUUGAUGCUGCUCGCCGAGUUCGACCAGAUUUAUAUGUUGUAGCUGAAUUAUUUACAAAUUCUGACCAAAAAGACAAUAUAUUUGUUAAUCGACUUGGCAUUACUUCUUUAAUUCGAGAAGCUAUGUCUGCAUGGGAUAGUCACGAAGAAGGCCGAUUGGUCUAUCGGUAUGGAGGAGAACCAGUGGGUGCAUUUUUGCAACCACGUAAACGGCCUUUAGUACCAAGCAUAGCACACGCGCUCUUUUUAGAUUUAACUCAUGAUAAUCCUAGUCCAGUGGAAAAGCGUAGUGUCUUUGAUUUACUACCAAGCGCUGCGCUUGUAUCAAUGGCAGCGUGUGCUAGUGGUAGCAAUCGUGGCUACGAUGAAUUAGUUCCUCAUCAUAUUCACGUUGUAGAUGAAACUAGACAAUAUUCUUCCUGGACAGAUGAUGAAGAUUUGGUAGAUGGUACCAAAUUCGUGGGAUCUAAGACAGGCAUAAUUGCAGCAAAAAAGGCAUUAAAUGAUUUACACUACUCACUUGGACAGCAGAAAUUUUCUCAGGUUUUUGUUGAUCAAAUGGACAGUGACAUAGUAGCUGUAACAAGACAUUCUCCAACCAGUCAUGAUAGUGUAAUUUUAGUUGCUUUUACAGCUUUUAAGCAUCCAGAUUCCAAUGCUGUUGAUCUAAGAAGAUAUGUAAAACCAUUGCGCGUAGAAGGUGUGAUGGAAGAAAUUAUUUUAGAAGCAUCUUUAUCUCAUAUAGGAGCAAAAAGUGGUACUUCACCUUUUCAUUAUCCUGAAAAGUACGUGCAAAAUGAAAAUUAUAUAAACGGUCUUUCCGAAUAUGCUGUAAAUCUUAAAGAGCACGUACAAAUUUGUGAUUCAGAAAUUUUGGAAAAAGUUGAUUCUGGAGAUCCUAAAAUAACACAGCUUAAUUUUGUAAACUUUCAACCAGGUUCCAUCGUUGCUAUUCGAGUAUCUCUUCAUGCGAAUAUAAAACCUGCCCUUGCAAAGCUUCAUAAUACCAUUUCAAUAAUUACAUCACCAAAAAGUUCAGAUUUGCGAGUUAUUGCUUCACGCAUGGAUUUAGUGGAUUUGAACAAAGCUUUGUACAGAUGUGACCAGGAAGAACGCGAUGAAACUUCAAAUAGAUUUGGUGUAUAUGAUAUUCCUGGAUAUGGGCCUCUCGUCUAUGCAGGACUACAAGGAAUCAUUUCAUUGUUAGCAGAUAUUCGUCCUAAUAAUGACUUAGGUCACCCAAUGUGUACUAAUCUUAGACAGGGCAAUUGGUUAAUAGAUUAUACUUGGCAACGAUUAAAAGAAGAUGAUGGAACCAGAGCUCUAGGCGAAUGGCUUGAAGACGCUACUGAGCCAUUUAAAGUGAUACCUCGUUACUUAGUGCCUAGUUAUUUCGACGUUGUAAUUGUAAAUGUUUAUAUGAUUCUAUUAGAGCAAUGUUAUAGCCUGAUGUCAAGUUUUGUAAAGGAUGGUUCCACUUUCAUCAAGAUUUUAUCACUAGUUUCAAUACAAGUGGGAGGUAUAGUAAGAUCAGCUCCGCUGCCAGAUUUGUCUCCUAACUUGGAUCUUCCGAAACCAAAAAUUAAGGAAUAUAAUGGAGAAAAUGAGCAAAUAUGCACAACAUUAUCAGCAGGUUUACCACAUUUCACAACCGGUUACAUGAGAAAUUGGGGCAGAGACACGUUUAUUGCUUUGAGAGGAUUAUUAAUAUUAACAGGCAGACAUACCGAAGCGAGAUUUAUUAUUCUUAGCUAUGCAGGCACUUUACGACACGGUCUCAUACCUAAUCUACUUGACAAAGGAAAGAAUGCUAGAUACAAUUGCCGUGAUGCUUUGUGGUGGUGGUUGUAUACUAUUCAAUGUUACAUUCAAGAAGUGCCAAGUGGAUUGAAAAUUUUAACAGAUAAAGUUUCAAGACUGUUUCCAACUGAUGAUUCUCCAGCUUUACCUGCGGGACAAGUUGAUCAACCACUACAUGAUGUUAUCCAAGAGGCCCUUUCAGUACAUUUUCAAGGACUUUGCUUUAGAGAAAGAAAUGCUGGAAGACAAAUUGACGAACAUAUGACAGAUCGUGGUUUUAAUAAUCAAAUUGGAGUGCACCCAGAAACUGGAUUUGUAUUUGGAGGGAAUGAAGCAAAUUGUGGUACAUGGAUGGAUAAAAUGGGAUCUUCCGAAAAAGCUGGUAACAAAGGAAAACCUGCUACUCCAAGAGAUGGUUCAGCUGUAGAAAUUGUAGGGCUUAGCAAAAGCAUUCUUAGCUUUUUAGCUGAAUUAUAUAAACAAAAUCUAUUCCCUCAUGGUAGUGUACAAAGAAAGAAUCGUGAUGGAUCUGUUAUAACAUGGAGUUAUAAACAAUGGGCAGACAAAAUUUCCUUAAAUUUCGAAAAAUAUUUCUACAUUAAUGAAACGCCAAGGGAAGGAGAGUUAAAACCAGAACUGAUCCAUCGUCGUGGAAUUUUCAAAGACAGUCAUGGAGCUACGCAGGCAUGGGCCGAUUAUCAAUUACGACCUAAUUUCCCAGUUGCAAUGGUGGUUGCACCGGAAUUAUUUAAUCCGAAACAUGCAUGGACAGCAUUGAAAAAAGUAGAAGAAAUUUUGUUGGGACCACUUGGAAUGAAAACAUUAGAUCCUGCUGACUGGGCAUACAAUGGGUACUAUGACAACUCGAAUGAUAGUGGAGAUACUAAAUUGGCUCAUGGAUGGAAUUAUCAUCAAGGUCCUGAAUGGGUUUGGCCUAUGGGAUACUUCCUUCGAGCUCGUUUAUAUUUUGCUCCAUUAGUGGGAGGAAAAGAAGAAUUACGUCGAACAGUUGAAUCAACCGAAACUAUUAUUUCUCGACAUUUUAUAGAAGCAUCUACAAAUCAUUGGAGAGGUCUUCCUGAACUUACUAAUAAAGAUGGAGAAUAUUGUAAGGAUAGCUGCAGUACACAAGCUUGGAGCGCCUCUUCUAUAUUAGAGGUUCUCUACGAUUUGCAGAAGAUUAAACGGGAAUUACGAACCGAGGAAACUGAAAGAAUAAAUUGAUAUAAUUUUGCGUGUGUUCACCACCGCCAGUUACACCUAGAACAUUUGCGAUUAGAGAAAGAACGUAGUAUCAGAAUAAACCAUCACGAUAAUAAAUGGCACGUAUUUGACACACCAAUAGAAACUCAACGCACGGAGACACACGCAUUUGGUACUUGGCACGUAGACAAAACUAGCACACCACCAUCAAAAUUUAGCUUAACACGUGACAUUCUUUAUAUGCAAGUUUUACAAAUUAUGAAAGAAUGCAAUUAAACAAUAAUACAAGGUUAUUAAGAAUUUUUAUUACUUGUUGAUACAUUAAAUACUUGUUAGCGGAUACUAUUAAUAUUGCACGCACAUUUUAGAUACACAUUUUGUUAAUCGUUUUCAUAUUGUGUAUGAAAUAUUUGCAAUAAAAUUAAUAUACACAAUUUUACUAUGUAUAACAGAGAAAACCGACCUUAUUGUUAUCUCUUUUGAACUAUUUUACAAUAUAAAAUAAAUAGAUUUAUAUAAAACAUACGUAUAACUUACAGCAAUAAAUAAAUUUCAUUCUAAUUUACAAAAUCACAGUACAGUCUCGCAAUAUGGCUUACAUUUGUAUGGCUCAUUUAAAAUUUUUCAAAUUUACUGAUUCCUAGCGCUGGAAGUAUAAAAA